GGGAGGCAGCAGUGGGGAAUCUUGCACAAUGGGCGAAAGCCUGAUGCAGCCAUGCCGCGUGAAUGAUGAAGGCCCUAGGGUUGUAAAAUUCUUUCAUCAGGGACGAUAAUGACGGUACCUGAAGAAGAAGCCCCGGCUAACUUCGUGCCAGCAGCCGCGGUAAUACGAAGGGGGCUAGCGUUGUUCGGAAUUACUGGGCGUAAAGCGCGCGUAGGCGGACUAUUAAGUCAGAUGUGAAAUCCCGGGGCUCAACCUCGGAACUGCAUUUGAAACUGGUAGUCUAGAGGCCAGGAGAGGUUAGUGGAAUGCCGAGUGUAGAGGUGAAAUUCGUAGAUAUUCGGUGGAACACCAGUGGCGAAGGCGACUGACUGGACUGGUACUGACGCUGAGGUGCGAAAGUGUGGGGAGCAAACAGGAUUAGAUACCCUGGUAGUCCACACCGUAAACGAUGAGUGCUAGUUGUCGGCAGGCAUGCCUGUCGGUGACGCAGCUAACGCAUUAAGCACUCCGCCUGGGGAGUACGGCCGCAAGGUUAAAACUCAAAGAAAUUGACGGGGGCCCGCACAAGCGGUGGAGCAUGUGGUUUAAUUCGAAGCAACGCGCAGAACCUUACCUACCCUUGACAUGCCCGGUUUGGUCGCCAGAGAUGGCUUCCUUGAUUCGUUCGCCGGUGCACAGGUGCUGCAUGGCUGUCGUCAGCUCGUGUCGUGAGGUGUUGGGUUAAGUCCCGCAACGAGCGCAACCCUCAUCCUUAGUUGCCAUCAGGUUUGGCUGGGCACUCUAAGGAAACUGCCGGUGGCAAGCCGGAGGAAGGUGGGGAUGACGUCAAGUCCUCAUGGCCCUUACGGGUAGGGCUACACACGUGCUACAAUGGCAGUGACAAUGGGAUAAUCCCCAAAAACUGUCUCAGUUCGGAUUGUCGUCUGCAACUCGACGGCAUGAAGUUGGAAUCGCUAGUAAUCGUGGAUCAGCAUGCCACGGUGAAUACGUUCCCGGGCAUUGUACACACCGCCCGUCACAUCAUGGGAGUUGGUUCUACCCNGAAGACCGUGCGCUAACUUCGGAGGCAGCGGGCCACGGUAGGAUCAGCGACUGGGAUGAAGUCG
rnacentral:rRNA from 1 species